rnacentral:rRNA from 1 species
AUACGGAGGAUGCGAGUGUUAUCCGGAUUUAUUGGGUUUAAAGGGAGCGUAGGUGGGAUAUUAAGUCAGCUGUGAAAGUUUGGGGCUCAACCUUAAAAUUGCAGUUGAUACUGGUUUCCUUGAGUACGGUACAGGUGGGCGGAAUUCGUGGUGUAGCGGUGAAAUGCUUAGAUAUCACGAAGAACUCCGAUCGCGAAGGCAGCUCACCGGGCCGGAACUGACACUGAUGCUCGAAAGUGCGGGUAUCAAACAGGAUUAGAUACCCUGGUAGUCCGCACAGUAAACGAUGAAUACUCGCUGUUUGCGAUACACGGUAAGCGGCCAAGCGAAAGCGUUAAGUAUUCCACCUGGGGAGUACGCCGGCAACGGUGAAACUCAAAUGAAUUGACGG